rnacentral:rRNA from 1 species
GACGAGAGGGGCAAGCGUUAUUCGAAAUGAUUGGGCGUAAAGGGCACGUAGGUGGCAGUGAAAAAAGAGACUAAAAACCCCGGGCUCAACCUGGGUCAUGCCCUUUUCUAAAAGAUCUGCUUGAGUCUCCAAGAGGUGAGUGGAAUUCCUGCAGGAGGGGUAAAAUCCAUUGAGAGCAGGAGGAACGCCAAAAGCAAAGGCAGCUCACUGGUGGUAGACUGACGUUGAGGUGCGAAGGCGUGGGG